rnacentral:snRNA from 1 species
CAAUCGCUAACAACCGCUAC